CGAAUCAGCAUGUCGCGGUGAAUACGUUCCCGGGCCUUGUACACACCGCCCGUCACACCAUGAGAGUUGGCAAUACCCAACGUACGUGAUCUAACCCGCAAGGGAGGAAGCGUCCUAAGGUAGGGUCAGCGAUUGGGGUGAAGUCGUAACAAGGUAGC
rnacentral:rRNA from 1 species